UGUUCCUAUGGUGAUUGGGGA
rnacentral:siRNA from 1 species